GCUAUAGCCUCCCCUAAGAAAGACAAAGACACCACCUGCCUGGCCCUUUACCUCUACAGGCAGCUCCUGGGAACACGCACAACAAGCCUAUCCUAACUGAAGUAAUGGUGAGAAAAGAGUUAGUAGUUACCAACGUUGGACUGAAAUAUUGCCAAUCUCUAUCUGGUAAUGAAGGAGUUUUGACAAAACAAGGAAACUGAGAUGCAGCAAGGUUAGGUAAUUCCUCCAAGGUUUCCUGGCUGGUGAGUGGUGGAGAGUUUGAAUAUGAUCAGCACGGAUCUAGAGCCCUUGCAACUAACCACCACCCGUGGGUCCCAGCAUAAGUCCCUGGUAGAGAAUGGCUGUCAUACAGGGAGAUAUUGAGCUUCCCAGGACUGACAAGACCAACGACACACACAGUAUCUUCAGCAGCCGUGGGCCAUCUCCUCAUGCCUCCAGACUACUGGGGUCCCUUAUGCUCAGUCAGGAAGUUGGAACUGAGAGAAACUAUCUGACAGUGACACAGGCUUCUGCUUUGCACAUUGCAUGUCAGCCUUGCCCUGAUGAGAUUGAAGUGAUAUCUAUAGUGGGUGUGCUCUUUCUCACUCUCCUGGCUUGUGUUGCUGUAUGGGAAUCCAGCUGCCAUGCCAUAAGGCCGCACUGAGGAGAACACUGCCAACAGCCAUGGGAGUGAGCUCGGAAGCAGAUCCUUCAAGUUGAGCCUAGAGAUGACUGCACCUCUAGACAACACCUUGACUGAAGCUUCGUAGGAGACCCCAACAAGAACCAUUGGCUAAGCUGCUUCUGAAAUCCUGACCCACAGAAACUGUGCCAUAA